rnacentral:lncRNA from 1 species
UGUACACCAGACAUGAGAUGUGAACAUGAUGCUGAAAAUAUUUUAUCUUCACUUUUAAUGUAACUAAGUACUGAUUAUACUGAUGUUUUAUGGAUUGAUUUUAUCUGCCAAUUAAAAUUGUUUCCGUCAUUAUUAACACAGAUUCUUUUGUGCUUUUCGUAUCACAGGAAGAAGUGUACACCACUUUAAUGGCGCUGAGCAACAGUGUAAGUUCACAUCUGUAAAUGGUUUGUUGAAGAUUAUGUCAUUAACUGAACAAUUACCGAUCUUUAUCCCCUCUCUUCGUUUGCAGCGUGCCCCAGAGAAGCACCAGCUGGAGCAUCGGUUACUGUGCGUCUUCUUGGGCAAAUUUUCCGUUAGCUUGGUUAAACUGGUGAUGGAAGUCGUAGUGUCCGCCGCUCCCGUCCUCGGCUUCCUGCCUCUGGCCAACAGGGUUUGUAUCGAGCUGCCCAAAGUCAGUGAUGUGGCCAAAGUGAGGCAGAAAUUCUGCAGCUACAACCCAGAAGACCGGAAGCAGAAGAUUCUCUGGAAAUGUGUCCUGACUUUGGAGACUGCGGCUGAUGUGGAACGGCGCGUAAAGAGGGCUCAAAAUGACAUUGUUUGCCUUGAAUCACCUUUCGACAAAUCGUUCAUGAGCAAAGAACAAAGGUCUCAUUACCACAUCUACUUGGGCAGAGAGGAGCAGAAUUGGCAGCGGGAGUGGGACAGAGCCAAUUCAUCCUCUGCUCGAUUUCGCAUGUCGUCUUCAAGAGAAUCAACGGCAUCUUCUACUUCUUCGUUUCUACUCAGAGUAGAAACGUUUACAGAAGACGUUCUCCUUCAUCUUCCCCUAGAAAACCCAGCGAGUCAUCUAAAUUUACAAAAUAUCACUCCAGCGCGUCUUCGAGUAAUAGCCGAUCCUCCUCUUCUCGCGAUAAGCAUUCGGAAAAGCCCAAGGACAGACCAAAGGAGAGCAACCCGGCAAAGUCUGGGCACGAGGGUUCGGGCAAAAGUUCUUCUAAAACACAAGAAAAGAAAGUAG